rnacentral:rRNA from 1 species
CAGUCGCCGCGGUAAGGCGAACCGUGCGAACGUUAUUCGGAAUCACUGGGCUUAAAGCGCGUGUAGGCGGGAGGGCACGUCCGUCGCUGAAAUCCCCCGGCUCAACCGGGGAACGGGCGCGGAUACGACUCUUCUGGAGGAACGUAGGGGGACCUGGAACUUCCGGUGGAGCGGUGAAAUGCGUUGAGAUCGGAAGGAACGCCCGUGGCGAAAGCGAGGUCCUGGACGUUUACUGACGCUGAGACGCGAAAGCCAGGGGAGCGAACGGGAUUAGAGACCCCCGUAGUCCCUGUCUCUUAUA